UGAUUUCUGUCUGCAGAAGUCAAAGCACAGCCAGCCUGAUGUUGGGGAGAAGGACUGCAUCAGAGAGGCUGCUUAGUUUCUUCAUUCUGCUGUCUGAUUAACCCAACAACUAAAGACAUGCUGCUUUACCUCAUUUUACUUUUCUCUCAUAUCAGAGAGUGUAAAGGAGAAGACAAAGUGAUCCAGGAACAAGGAGAUGUCAUUGCUGCUGCAGGAGACACAGUUACACUUGGAUGUACAUAUGAAACAUCUGAUUCAUAUUCAUAUUUGUUCUGGUACAAACAAGAACUAAAUGACUUUCCAAAGUAUGUUUUACAGCGUGGAACUACUGGAACAGCAGAUAACGCUCAGGAGUUCCCAAAGGACAGAUUUGAUGCCGAAGUCGACAAGAAAGAGAAGUCAGUUCCUCUGAAGAUCCAGAAGCUUCAGCUGUCUGACUCUGCUGUGUACUACUGUGCUCUGCAGCCCACAGUGACAGGAAACACCAAAACUCUGUACAAAAAC